CCUACGUGUGGCAGCAGUGGGGAAUAUUGGGCAAUGGGCGCAAGCCUGAACCAGCAACGCCGCGUGAAGGAAGAAGGCCCUCGGGUUGUAAACUUCUUUUAACAGGGACGAAGAAAGUGCCGGUACCUGUUGCAUAAACCACUGCUAACGAAGUGCCAGCAGCCGCGGUAAUACGUAGGCGGCAAGCGUUAUGCGGAUUUACUGGGUGUAAAGGGCGUGUAGGAGGUAGUGGAAGUCAGACGUGAAAUUCCAGGGCUCAACCCUGGAAUUGCGUUUGAUACGGUUCUUCUUGAGUGAUGGAGAGGCAGGCGGAAUGCCGGGUGUAGCGGUGAAAUGCGUAGAUAUACGGCGGAACACCAGUGGCGAAGGCGGCCUGCUGGACAUUGACUGACGCUGAGGCGCGAAAGCGUGGGGAGCAAACAGGAUUAGAUACCCCUGUAGUC
rnacentral:rRNA from 1 species